rnacentral:rRNA from 1 species
GACGUAGGGCGCGAGCGUUGUCCGGAUUUAUUGGGCGUAAAGAGCGCGUAGGCGGCUUGUUGCGUCGACUGUGAAAACCCGCGGCUUAACUGCGGGCUUGCAGUUGAUACGGGCAGGCUAGAGUUCGGUAGGGGAGACUGGAAUUCCUGGUGUAGCGGUGAAAUGCGCAGAUAUCAGGAGGAACACCGGUGGCGAAGGCGGGUCUCUGGGCCGAUACUGACGCUGAGGAGCGAAAGCGUGGGGAGCGAACCGG